AAGACUAUUCCUCUUGGGGAUCAUUUCUACAGUUUGUCAGUAGAUGAAUUUUUCUGAACAUGAAGAGUGCUGGGGACCAGGAAGAGACACAGGGUCCUCUGCCGAAUGUGAAGCUGGACCUCACCCUGGAGUGGCGUUGGUGCAACCGCCACUGGGGAUCAUUCUUCUCUUCUGUGGGAGAGCAAGAAGGGCAGAAUGGAGACUGGG